UGGGGAAUAUUGCACAAUGGGCGCAAGCCUGAUGCAGCCAUGCCGCGUGUAUGAAGAAGGCCUUCGGGUUGUAAAGUACUUUCAGCGGGGAGGAAGGGAGUAAAGUUAAUACCUUUGCUCAUUGACGUUACCCGCAGAAGAAGCACCGGCUAACUCCGUGCCAGCAGCCGCGGUAAUACGGAGGGUGCAAGCGUUAAUCGGAAUUACUGGGCGUAAAGCGCACGCAGGCGGUUUGUUAAGUCAGAUGUGAAAUCCCCGGGCUCAACCUGGGAACUGCAUCUGAUACUGGCAAGCUUGAGUCUCGUAGAGGGGGGUAGAAUACCAGGUGUAGCGGUGAAAUGCGUAGAGAUCUGGAGGAAUACCGGUGGCGAAGGCGGCCCCCUGGACAAAGACUGACGCUCAGGUGCGAAAGCGUGGGGAGCAAACA
rnacentral:rRNA from 1 species